rnacentral:rRNA from 1 species
GUGGGGAAUAUUGGACAAUGGGGGGAACCCUGAUCCAGCCAUGCCACGUGUGUGAAGAAGGCCUUUUGGUUGUAAAGCACUUUAAGCGAGGAGGAGGCUACCGAGAUUAAUACUCUUGGAUAGUGGACGUUACUCGCAGAAUAAGCACCGGCUAACUCUGUGCCAGCAGCCGCGGUAAUACAGAGGGUGCAAGCGUUAAUCGGAUUUACUGGGCGUAAAGCGCGCGUAGGUGGCCAAUUAAGUCAAAUGUGAAAUCCCCGAGCUUAACUUGGGAAUUGCAUUCGAUACUGGUUGGCUAGAGUAUGGGAGAGGAUGGUAGAAUUCCAGGUGUAGCGGUGAAAUGCGUAGAGAUCUGGAGGAAUACCGAUGGCGAAGGCAGCCAUCUGGCCUAAUACUGACACUGAGGUGCGAAAGCAUGGGGAGCAAACAGGAUUAGAAACCCGAGUAGUCC